rnacentral:rRNA from 1 species
ACUCCUACGGGAGGCAGCAGUGGGAAGUAUUGCACAAUGGGGGAAACCCUGAUGCAGCCAUGCCGCGUGUGUGAAGAAGGCCUUGGGUUGUAAAGCACUUUCAGUAGGGAGGAAGGUAGUGUAGUUAACACCUGCAUUAUUUGACGUUACCUACAGAAGAAGCACCGGCUAACUCCGUGCCAGCAGCCGCGGUAAUACGGAGGGUGCGAGCGUUAAUCGGAAUUACGUGGGCGUAAAGCGCAUGCAGGCGGCCUGUUAAGUCAGAUGUGAAAGCCCGGGGCUUAACCUCGGAAUUGCAUUUGAAACUGGCAGGCUAGAGUCUUGUAGAGGGGUUAGAAUUUCAGGUGUAGCGGUGAAAUGCGUAGAGAUCUGAAGGAAUACCAGUGGCGAAGGCGGCCCCUGGACAAAGACUGACGCUCAGAUGCGAAAGGCGUGGGAGCAAACAGGAUUAGAUACCCCUGGUAGACUGUCA